CCCUUAGAUGUUCUGAACCGCACACGUGUUACACUGAUGCAUUCAACGAGCUUUACCUUGGCCGAGAGGCCUGGGAAAUCUUUUUAGCAUGCAUCGUGAUAGGGAUUGAUUAUUGCAAUUAUUAAUCAUGAACGAGGAAUUCCUAGUAAACGCAUUUCAUCAAAAUGCAUUGAUUACGUCCCUGCCCUUUGUACACACCGCCCGUCGCACCUACCGAUUGAGUGGUCCGGUGAAGUCUCGAGAUUGUGGCAAUCUCCUUUAUUGGAGUUUGACUGCGAGAACUUGCCUAAACCUUAUCACUUAGAGGAAGGUGAAGUCGUAACA
rnacentral:rRNA from 1 species